AGAGUUUGAUCAUGGCUCAGAUUGAACGCUGGCGGCAGGCCUAACACAUGCAAGUCGAACGGUAACAGGAAGAAGCUUGCUUCUUUGCUGACGAGUGGCGGACGGGUGAGUAAUGUCUGGGAAACUGCCUGAUGGAGGGGGAUAACUACUGGAAACGGUAGCUAAUACCGCAUAACGUCGCAAGACCAAAGAGGGGGACCUUCGGGCCUCUUGCCAUCGGAUGUGCCCAGAUGGGAUUAGCUUGUUGGUGGGGUAACGGCUCACCAAGGCGACGAUCCCUAGCUGGUCUGAGAGGAUGACCAGCCACACUGGAACUGAGACACGGUCCAGACUCCUACGGGAGGCAGCAGUGGGGAAUAUUGCACAAUGGGCGCAAGCCUGAUGCAGCCAUGCCGCGUGUAUGAAGAAGGCCUUCGGGUUGUAAAGUACUUUCAGCGGGGAGGAAGGGAGUAAAGUUAAUACCUUUACUCAUUGACGUUACCCGCAGAAGAAGCACCGGCUAACUCCGUGCCAGCAGCCGCGGUAAUACGGAGGGUGCAAGCGUUAAUCGGAAUUACUGGGCGUAAAGCGUACGCAGGCGGUUUGUUAAGUCAGAUGUGAAAUCCCCGGGCUCAACCUGGGAACUGCAUCUGAUACUGGCAAGCUUGAGUCUCGUAGAGGGGGGUAGAAUUCCAGGUGUAGCGGUGAAAUGCGUAGAGAUCUGGAGGAAUACCGGUGGCGAAGGCGGCCCCCUGGACGAAGACUGACGCUCAGGUGCGAAAGCGUGGGGAGCAAACAGGAUUAGAUACCCUGGUAGUCCACGCCGUAAACGAUGUCGACUUGGAGGUUGUGCCCUUGAGGCGUGGCUUCCGGAGCUAACGCGUUAAGUCGACCGCCUGGGGAGUACGGCCGCAAGGUUAAAACUCAAAUGAAUUGACGGGGGCCCGCACAAGCGGUGGAGCAUGUGGUUUAAUUCGAUGCAACGCGAAGAACCUUACCUGGUCUUGACAUCCACGGAAGUUUUCAGAGAUGAGAAUGUGCCUUCGGGAACCGUGAGACAGGUGCUGCAUGGCUGUCGUCAGCUCGUGUUGUGAAAUGUUGGGUUAAGUCCCGCAACGAGCGCAACCCUUAUCCUUUGUUGCCAGCGGUCCGGCCGGGAACUCAAAGGAGACUGCCAGUGAUAAACUGGAGGAAGGUGGGGAUGACGUCAAGUCAUCAUGGCCCUUACGACCAGGGCUACACACGUGCUACAAUGGCGCAUACAAAGAGAAGCGACCUCGCGAGAGCAAGCGGACCUCAUAAAGUGCGUCGUAGUCCGGAUUGGAGUCUGCAACUCGACUCCAUGAAGUCGGAAUCGCUAGUAAUCGUGGAUCAGAAUGCCACGGUGAAUACGUUCCCGGGCCUUGUACACACCGCCCGUCACACCAUGGGAGUGGGUUGCAAAAGAAGUAGGUAGCUUAACCUUCGGGAGGGCGCUUACCACUUUGUGAUUCAUGACUGGGGUGAAGUCGUAACAAGGUAACCGUAGGGGAACCUGCGGUUGGAUCACCU
rnacentral:rRNA from 1 species